rnacentral:rRNA from 1 species
AGCGAACGCUGGCGGCAGGCUUAACACAUGCAAGUCGAGCGGGCAUCCUUGUGGUGUCAGCGGCAGACGGGUGAGUAACGCGUGGGAACGUGCCCUUCGGUUCGGAAUAACUCAUGGAAACUUGAGCUAAUACCGGAUACGUGCGAGAGCAGAAAGGUUUAUCUGCCGAAGGAUCGGCCCGCGUCUGAUUAGCUAGUUGGUGAGGUUACGGCUCACCAAGGCGACGAUCAGUAGCUGGUCUGAGAGGAUGAUCAGCCACACUGGGACUGAGACACGGCCCAGACUCCUACGGGAGGCAGCAGUGGGGAAUAUUGGACAAUGGGGGCAACCCUGAUCCAGCCAUGCCGCGUGAGUGAUGACGGCCUUAGGGUUGUAAAGCUCUUUUCUCCGGGACGAUAAUGACGGUACCGGAGGAAUAAGCCCCGGCUAACUUCGUG